UGCAAGUCGAACGAUGAAGGCCGUGCUUGCACGGCUGGAUUAGUGGCGAACGGGUGAGUAACACGUGAGUAACCUGCCCUUCACUCUGGGAUAACCUCGGGAAAUCGGGGCUAAUACCGGAUACGAGUGCCCACCGCAUGGUGGAUGCUGGAAAGUUUUUCGGUGAAGGAUGGACUCGCGGCCUAUCAGUUUGUUGGUGAGGUAAUGGCUCACCAAGACGAUGACGGGUAGCCGGCCUGAGAGGGCGACCGGCCACACUGGGACUGAGACACGGCCCAGACUCCUACGGGAGGCAGCAGUGGGGAAUAUUGCACAAUGGGCGAAAGCCUGAUGCAGCGACGCCGCGUGAGGGAUGACGGCCUUCGGGUUGUAAACCUCUUUCAGUAGGGAAGAAGCGAAAGUGACGGUACCUGCAGAAGAAGCGCCGGCUAACUACGUGCCAGCAGCCGCGGUAAUACGUAGGGCGCAAGCGUUGUCCGGAAUUAUUGGGCGUAAAGAGCUUGUAGGUGGCUUGUCGCGUCUGCCGUGAAAAUCCAGGGCUUAACUCUGGACGUGCGGUGGGUACGGGCAGGCUAGAGUGUGGUAGGGGAGACUGGAACUCCUGGUGUAGCGGUGAAAUGCGCAGAUAUCAGGAAGAACACCGAUGGCGAAGGCAGGUCUCUGGGCCAUUACUGACACUGAGAAGCGAAAGCAUGGGGAGCGAACAGGAUUAGAUACCCUGGUAGUCCAUGCCGUAAACGUUGGGCACUAGGUGUGGGCGACAUUCCACGUUGUCUGCGCCGUAGCUAACGCAUUAAGUGCCCCGCCUGGGGAGUACGGCCGCAAGGCUAAAACUCAAAGGAAUUGACGGGGGGCCCGCACAAGCGGCGGAGCAUGCGGAUUAAUUCGAUGCAACGCGAAGAACCUUACCAAGGCUUGACAUGCACCGGACAGCUGCAGAGAUGU
rnacentral:rRNA from 1 species